AUCAGAGCUGGACUCCAAUUACCCCGCCUCUUUAACUGGGGAUAAAACACAACAGCGCAAGAAAUUUUCUUCAUUCCUGUCUUAGCAGCGGUGUUACAGUAUACCUCAAGGGAACACCUCCAGUAUUGUUUUACUGCUCCGAUCAAGAGAUCAUGGCUGAAAAGAAAAGGCCACCGCCGUUGGACUUGUCGAAAAUAGUUGAACUGAUGAACCCCAACGAGGAUCAACCAGACUACGAAGGGGAAGACGAAAACCCCGAACAAGAAGAAGAAAAUUUAGCUGAAAUGGCUCAACCAGUUAGAGAAAGGACAGAUAACGUGGCUCAACCAGUUAGAGAAAGGACAGCUGACGCGGCUCAACCUGUUAGAGAAAGGACAGCUAACUCGGCUCAACCAGUUAGAGAAAGGACAGCUAAUGCGGCUCAACCAGUUAGAGAAAGGACAGCCAACGCGGGUCAACCAGUUAGAGAAAGGACAGCUAAUGCGGCUCAAUCAGUUAGAGAAAGGACAGCCAACGCGGGUCAACCAGUUAGAGAAAGGACAGCUAACGCGGCUCAACCAGUUAGAGAAAGGAGAGAUGUCCGGACCCGACAGAAGGCGGACGCACAUUAUGUGAUAAACAGAAGGCACCCCAGGGGAGCAGGGCCGUCCUCAGUUCCAUUGAUUCAUCCGCAAGAUGCUUAUUUGCACGAGGCUUCACCACCCAAAAAAAGUCGCCGCAGCCCUCGAAAGGCGAAAGGUGGGAGCUCAUCUUCUGCCGAUAAGAAAAAAAUGAAUCAAAAACGCAAGAAAAAGCAAUCCUCGAAACGAAAAAAGAGGCCCAAUAAGAAGCGCUGAGGACCUGCUUCUGCUUCUGUCCUGUGGACCGGACCUGCUUCUUGAUUCGUGCUUCUUACUCUUUAUAUGUAUGUGUUUUACAAUUCUUAAUGUAAAUAAGAGGAGAUGUCUGAAGAAAUGUUUGAGAAAGAAAAGGGAAAAUAUAUAAGAUCAGCUAUUUAUAGAAAGGAGAUGUACCUGCUAAAGUUAUUGCAGUGUUCAGUUGCAGUGCAGUAUAUUUAAUGAACUUGUAUUUAUUAUAUCAACAUAUUUAAUAAACUUAUAUUUAUUGUAUCAA